rnacentral:tRNA from 1 species
GGGCGGUUAGCUCAGUUGGUAGAGCGCAUACUUGACGUGUAUGAGGUCAGGGGUUCGAGCCCUCUACCGCCCA